rnacentral:lncRNA from 1 species
ACAAAGGGUUGUUGGUCUCUACAAAAUGCAAGGAACCUGUCUUUAAUCUCCAAAUGGAGUAAAGCAGCUUACCUACCAGAAAUCCCUACACUGAGAUGCCAUUUAAGUGACUUUUUUUUUUUUUUACAAAGAUACACUUUGUAAGGCUGCUGAAAUUUUGGAACUGGUGUGUUAUAGCUGCUUGUAUUACUCUCCCAUGCAUAAGAAAGAACAUUCAAUUCACUUAACGCCACUCCACAAGUCUUUCUACUCUCAUCUGUACCCAGGGGAAAACAAAUUCCAGUGCAUUAGGGCAUUUGGAUGGCAGCACAUCACAGCUGAGGGAGCGCCUAGGCUUGGCUCUGUUUCCAACAGCCCUGUGACCCUGGGCCCAUGGCCACACCCCUUUGGGGGACCCUGGGUUCAACUGCUAAAAUGCAAAAAUUAGACAUUACUUAAAAAUCUUCUUGCCCUCCAAACACUUUAUUUUCAUCUUUUCAUUAUCUCACAUUUUUUUCUUUUCCUUUAUUACCCUUCCCCUACCCAUCCCACCUUCCCAACACCUUUAGCAGGGAUAAGGGGAAAAAAUGAGAAUCAAGACUUGUCAUGUAGAGGUACAAGAUCCCAACAAUGAAUGUAACUGUACUGCA